CUCCUACCUGCCGCACCGCACGCACACUUCUGUCUCUCUGUCUGAGGGGCUACAGGUGUUGUCUGGGGGUCCUGAUGGCUGGUCCAGUGUCUCCUCCCCCGGCCCCUCCUCCUCAGCCCUACCCGUGACCACACCCUCCUCACCCCCGUCCACCAAUAGCAGCAGUCAGUACCCGUGUCUGUGGACGGUCGGGCGUACAGACGGGAGUACCGCCUCUUCUCCCUGCGCCCAGCUUCACGGACCAAUCAACAGCGAGAGCCACCCACAGCCACCCAAUCACGUCCGGCUGGGCGGGCCCGGUUGGCCACCUGUCUCCACCCAUUCCUUCUAAUAAACGAUGUGAUUGGUCAAUGCCCACAUGGGCAUGAUCAGUACUGCCCUGGGACCCGGCACCGGAAGGCCUUUAAUUAACUCAACAUCUUAGAUGCUGGGUGUUCCUCUGCCAAGGCGUUGCAAACGUAUGCCAGAUCUUACAUCUUCUGGAAAGGUAUUUUAAGUAUCAGCUAACCACAUCAUAUGUCAUAGCAAUCUGAUGCCCGACAGCACAGUCGAUGACGUGGCACGGAGCCAUUGGUUGAUGAAUGCAACGUCUGAGCAGGGCAACGCGACCAAUGUGUAUGUGCAUAUGAUGCCAAACAAAUGUG